rnacentral:lncRNA from 1 species
UCAAGAGCUGGGAAUCAAAUUUUGCCCAAUGAAACAUCCUAUGGUGUUUAAACACUGGCAUCUGGUUAAACAUAAACAUAAACAACACUGAGUGGGCCGAAUUAAGAUCAGGUGCAGGCCAGAUCUGCCCAUGGGCUGCCAGUCUGCGAUGCCUGACGUAGAUGCCGCCUCACGUUACUCAGAAGUUUAUGAUUCCAUCCCACGUGCAGCUCUUCAAAACGCUGCUGUAAGGGCGGCGGAAUCCGUGCGUUCUGGGGCCCGGCCGCUUCUGAUCGCGGUCCUGGGCCCCACCCAUGCCCUUGCGCAGCCCUCUCCGGGAGAGGACUGUACGCCGGGACUCAGCCCUGUCCCUGGUGGCCGGGAUGGGUCGCAUGGCUUUUUCACACCCUCCCUACCUGCUCGCCUGCUCUCCCAGCAGAGCCGCAGCGAUGACUCAGCCUCUGGCUGCCCAAGCCGGAAUUCUUACUUCAUUCAGGAUGCUCAGCUCAAUUCUUCGUUUACCGGUCUUCUUUCCAGGUGA